rnacentral:rRNA from 1 species
GUUCGGAUUGUAGGCUGCAACUCGCCUACAUGAAGCUGGAAUUGCUAGUAAUCACAGGUCAGCAUACUGUGGUGAAUACGUUCCCGGGCCUUGUACACACCGCCCGUCACACCAUGAGAGUUGAGAAUACCCGAAGUCCAUGCCAAAGUGGCCGAAGGUAGGCUUGAUGAUUGGGGUGAAGUCGUAACAAGGUAUC